CCAGACUCCUACGGGAGGCAGCAGUGGGGAAUAUUGCACAAUGGGGGAAACCCUGAUGCAGCGACGCCGCGUGAGUGAAGAAGUAAUUCGUUAUGUAAAGCUCUAUCAGCAGGGAAGAAAAUGACGGUACCUGAGUAAGAAGCCCCGGCUAACUACGUGCCAGCAGCCGCGGUAAUACGUAGGGGGCAAGCGUUAUCCGGAUUUACUGGGUGUAAAGGGAGCGUAGACGGCAUGGCAAGUCAGAUGUGAAAGCCCGGGGCUCAACCCCGGGACUGCAUUUGAAACUGUCAGGCUGGAGUGCAGGAGAGGUAAGUGGAAUUCCUAGUGUAGCGGUGAAAUGCGUAGAUAUUAGGAGGAACACCAGUGGCGAAGGCGGCCUGCUGGACGAUGACUGACGUUGAGGCUCGAAAGCGUGGGGAGCAAACAGGAUUAGAUACCCUAGUA
rnacentral:rRNA from 1 species